CUCUCUUUGUUAAUUAUAAAUAAAGAGUUGGGCCUGCUCGGUGAAGAAUUGUUUUAACAGCUGCGGUAUUUUAACUGUACUAAGGUAGCAUAAUAAUUUGCCUUAUAAUUUGAGGCUAGAAUGAAUGGUUUGACGAAGGUUAAUCUGUCUCUACUUUAUUUUUUAGAAUUUAAUUUUUAUAGUGAAAAAGCUUGAAUUUUUUAAAGGGACGAGAAGACCCUAUUGAGCUUAUAAUUUUAUUGCUAAGUCAUUAUUUAUAUAAGUGAAAAGCAUAUAAAUUUUAAUUGGGGUGAUUAAGGAAUAAUAUUUAAUUAGUAACUUCCUUAUACUAAAUUUUGUUAGGUAAAGUAACCAAUAUAGUAUUGCUUAUAAUAUAGUUACCAUAGGGAUAACAGCGUAAUUUGUUUAGAGAGUUCUUAUUGAAAAACAACAUUGCGACCUCGAUGUUGGAUUAAAGUAACCUUAAGGUGCAGAAGCUUUAAUACGUAAAUCUGUUCKAUUUUUAAAACUUUACA
rnacentral:rRNA from 1 species